UUAUUUUUCUUUUAUGUUUUCAAAGAGCUGUCUAUCACUUGACGAUGCUAGCUGUUCCUCACCUGAUUGAAAGUAAAGGCUCCAUUGUCAACGUUUCGAGCGUUCUCAGCAAAAGGGGAGGUGCAACAUUACUUUCCUAUGCCAUGUCUAAAGGCGCUAUAGAUCAGUUUACCAGAAGUGUGGCAUUAGAUCUUGCUCCCAAACAAGUCAGAGUGAAUUCAGUAAAGUAAGUG